rnacentral:rRNA from 1 species
GUGAGGAAUAUUGGUCAAUGGGCGGGAGCCUGAACCAGCCAAGUCGCGUGAAGGAAGAAGGAUCUAUGGUUCGUAAACUUCUUUUGCAGGGGAAUAAAGUGCAGGACGUGUCCUGUUUUGUAUGUACCCUGAGAAUAAGGAUCGGCUAACUCCGUGCCAGCAGCCGCGGUAAUACGGAGGAUCCGAUCGUUAUCCGGAUUUAUUGGGUUUAAAGGGUGCGUAGGUGGUUUGAUAAGUCAGCGGUGAAAGUGUGCAGCUUAACUGUAAAAAUGCCGUUGAAACUGUCGGACCUGAGUGUAAAUGAGGUAGACGGAAUGCGUGGUGUAGCGGUGAAAUGCAUAGAUAUCACGCAGAACUCCGAUUGCGAAGGCAGCUUACUAAGCUACAACUGACACUGAAGCACGAAAGCGUGGGGAUCAAACAGGAUUAGAUACCCGAGUAGUCC